rnacentral:tRNA from 1 species
GGGAAUAGCUGUAUCCAUGGUGGAUGCCACAGACUUCAAAUCUGAUGGCAGGUGACUUAAGUUAUCUGUGGUGGGUUCGAUUCCCACAUAUUCCCG